GACGUAGGGGGCAAGCGUUGUCCGGAAUCAUUGGGCGUAAAGAGCGUGUAGGCGGCCCGGUAAGUCCGCUGUGAAAGUCCAGGGCUCAACCCUGGGAUGCCGGUGGAUACUGUCGGGCUCGAGUCCGGAAGAGGAGUGUGGAAUUCCUGGUGUAGCGGUGAAAUGCGCAGAUAUCGGGAGGAACACCAGUGGCGAAAGCGGCUACCUGGCCCAUUCUUGACGCUGAGGCGCGAAAGCUAGGGGAGCAAACGGG
rnacentral:rRNA from 1 species